rnacentral:rRNA from 1 species
ACUCCUACGGGAGGCAGCAGUGGGAAGUAUUGCACAAUGGGCGCAGCCAUGACUGCAGCCAUGCCGCGCUGUGUGAAGAAGGCCAAUUCGGGCUUGGUUAAGACACUUUCAGUCGUGAGGAAGGUAGUGUAGUUAAUAGCUGCAUUAUUUGACGUUAGCGACAGAAGAAGCACCGGCUAACUCCGUGCCAGCAGCCGCGGUAAUACGGAGGGUGCGAGCGUUAAUCGGAAUUACUGGGCGUAAAGCGCAUGCAGGUGGUUUGUUAAGUCAGAUGUGAAAGCCCGGGCUC